ACGUAGGGCGCGAGCGUUGUCCGGAAUUAUUGGGCGUAAAGAGCUCGUAGGCGGCUCGGUAAGUCAGGUGUGAAAGCUCCGGGCUCAACCCGGAGAAGCCAGCUGAUACUGCCGUGGCUAGAGUCCAGUAGGGGAGCGUGGAACUCCUGGUGUAGCGGUGAAAUGCGCAGAUAUCAGGAGGAACACCGGUGGCGAAGGCGGUUCUCUGGGCAUUACCUGACGCUGAGGAGCGAAAGCAUGGGGAGCAAACAGGA
rnacentral:rRNA from 1 species